rnacentral:rRNA from 1 species
UACGGGGGGGGCAAGCGUUGUUCGGAAUUACUGGGCGUAAAGGGCUCGUAGGCGGCCAACUAAGUCAUACGUGAAAUCCCUCGGCUUAACCGGGGAACUGCGUCUGAUACCGGAUGGCUUGAGUUCGGGAGAGGGAUGCGGAAUUCCAGGUGUAGCGGUGAAAUGCGUAGAUAUCUGUAGGAACACCCGUGGCGAAGGCGGCACUCUGGGCCAGUACUGACACUGAGGAGCGAAAGCGUGGGUAGCGAACAGG